UACGAAGGGGGCUAGCGUUGCUCGGAAUUACUGGGCGUAAAGCGCACGUAGGCGGCUUCUUAAGUCGGUGGUGAAAUCCUGGAGCUCAACUCCAGAACUGCCUUCGAUACUGGGAAGCUCGAGUCCGGGAGAGGUGAGUGGAACUGCGAGUGUAGAGGUGAAAUUCGUAGAUAUUCGCAAGAACACCAGUGGCGAAGGCGGCUCACUGGUCCGGUACUGACGCUGAGGUGCGAAAGCGUGGGGAGCAAACAGGG
rnacentral:rRNA from 1 species